AACGAACGCUGGCGGCAUGCCUAACACAUGCAAGUCGAACGUGAUCCGGGGCUUGCUCCGGUGAAAGUGGCGGACGGGUGAGUAACGCGUGGGAACCUGCCCAGUGGUCGGGGAUAACUGCGGGAAACUGCAGCUAAUACCCGGUAAGCCCUACGGGGGAAAGAUUUAUCGCCAUUGGAGGGGCCCGCGUCGGAUUAGGUAGUUGGUGGGGUAACGGCCUACCAAGCCUACGAUCCGUAGCUGGUCUGAGAGGAUGAUCAGCCACACUGGGACUGAGAUACGGCCCAGACUCCUACGGGAGGCAGCAGUGGGGAAUAUUGGACAAUGGGCGCAAGCCUGAUCCAGCAAUGCCGCGUGAGUGAAGAAGGCCUUAGGGUUGUAAAGCUCUUUCGGCGGGGACGAUGAUGACGGUACCCGCAGAAGAAGCCCCGGCUAACUCCGUGCCAGCAGCCGCCGUAAUAC
rnacentral:rRNA from 1 species